GCCCCCGUAACUUCGGGAGAAGGGGGGCCGAGCCUGUCUAGAGAUUUACUCUCAACGGCGGGUGAGGCCGCAGAGACCAGGCCCAGGCGACUGUUUACUAAAAACACAGGUCCGUGCUAAGUCGUAAGACGACGUAUACGGACUGACGCCUGCCCGGUGCUGGAACGUUAAGGGGAAGUGUUAGGGCAACCGAAGCACUGAACUUAAGCGCCAGUAAACGGCGGUGGUAACUAUAACCAUCCUAAGGUAGCGAAAUUCCUUGUCGGGUAAGUUCCGACCUGCACGAAUGGCGUAACGACUUGGGCGCUGUCUCGACCACGGACUCGGCGAAAUUGCACUACGAGUAAAGAUGCUCGUUACGCGCAGCAGGACGGAAAGACCCCGGGACCUUUACUAUAGUUUGGUAUUGGUGUUCGGUACAGCUUGUGUAGGAUAGGUGGGAGACUUUGAAGCGGCCACGCCAGUGGUUGUGGAGUCAACGUUGAAAUACCACUCUGGCUGUUCUGGAUAUCUAACCUAGGUCCGUUAUCCGGAUCAGGGACAGUGCCUGAUGGGUAGUUUGACUGGGGCGGUCGCCUCCUAAAAGGUAACGGAGGCGCCCAAAGGUUCCCUCAGCCUGGUUGGCAAUCAGGUUUCGAGUGUAAGUGCACAAGGGAGCUUGACUGUGAGAGAGACAUCUCAAGCAGGGACGAAAGUCGGGACUAGUGAUCUGACGGUGGCACGUGGAAGCGCCGUCACUCAACGGAUAAAAGGUACCCCGGGGAUAACAGGCUGAUCUUGCCCGAGCGUCCAUAGCGACUGCAUGGUUUGGCACCUCGAUGUCGGCUCGUCGCAUCCUGGGGCUGGAGUCGGUCCCAAGGGUUGGGCUGUUCGCCCAUUAAAGCGGCACGCGAGCUGGGUUUAGAACGUCGUGAGACAGUUCGGUCCCUAUCCGCUGCGCGCGUAGGAGUCUUGAAGAGGGCUGUCCUUAGUACGAGAGGACCGGGACGGACGAACCUCUGGUGUGCCAGUUGUCCUGCCAAGGGCACGGCUGGUUGGCUACGUUCGGAAGUGAUAACCGCUGAAAGCAUCUAAGCGGGAAGCACGCUCCAAGAUGAUGGCUCCCACAGGGUAACCUGGUAAGGCCCCCAGCAGAUCACUGGGUGAUAGGUCGGAUGUGGAAGUGCAGCAAUGCACGGAGCUGACCGAUACUAAUAGGCCGAGGGCUUGUC
rnacentral:rRNA from 1 species